GGUGAGUCCACCGGCGCGUUGCACUCUUCAUUUGCCAUGAAUAGAUGUAGCUGCUUUUUAUUUAUGAGGAGGAGUUCAGUUCCUCAGUACCAGUUGAGUAGGAAGGUAGGAGACUUUAACAUUUUGGUUGCAAAUAUAUCACAAACCUUUGGUUUCAUAAGAUUUGAAAAUUUACUGAAAUGAUUUCUUCUAGAUGUGUUUGCAAUGGGUUACAUACAAACUCGUCAGAGCGCCCACAUAUUUCACCAGCUGCAUCUGUUUGGCUCAGUUUCUUCCCAGGAACUCGUCCUCGUCCAAGCGAUGCUGUCCAUCAGACUGACUCAGGUGUUCUUCCUCUUGGCCUUCGUCUACCUCACCUCUUCACUUCCUGUCAGAGAUGAGGAUGAAAUGGAAGGUUUCCUGCCUGAGAUCAGACACUCGAAUGACGCGUGGUCACUGUCAGGGCUGAACUCUGCAGACGCUGUGCUCGAGGCCAGACUCAGGCAGCUGCUGACUACAGGACUCGAGCGCAGGAGGCAGCUGGGAGACAUCGAGUUCUCCAAUAAAUAUGCAGAGUACCUGCGUUCCAAAGCCAAGCACAGCUCCUUCUGCGCCUUCCUGCGCCGCCGACAGGGCGUCAACAAAAGUGGGGUGAUGGGGGACCCAGAGAGAGUGAACCAGCUGAUGAGGCAGUACAUGUGUCCGCCCGCAUACAGCGACUGGGCGACCGACCUGUAAACGGAGCAGAGCGGAGCGGUGCGUCAGCUGCUCCCAGCUGUUGUCAUGCUGUUAUCAUGCUUCAUGUGUUUUUAAAUUUGUUAUUAAAAUGAGUUUUAUGAAGCCCUGUCGGCGUUAAGUGUCUGUUACAUGCACUCACGAGCAGUGAAACGUCAAAAGCAGUUGUUCUAA
rnacentral:lncRNA from 1 species